CCCUUAGAUGUUCUGGGCUGCACGCGCGCUACACUGUCGGAUUCAGCGAGUCAUAUCCUUAACCGAAAGGUUUGGGUGAUCUUUUGAAAGUCCGACGUGAUGGGGAUUGAUCAUUGCAAUUAUUGAUCAUGAACGAGGAAUUCCUAGUAAGCGCGAGUCAUCAGCUCGCGUUGAUUACGUCCCUGCCCUUUGUACACACCGCCCGUCGCUACUACCGAUUGAAUGGUUUAGUGAGAUCUUCGGAUUGGCGCCUACGCGGCUUCUCUGAGGCCACGCUGGAUGCCGAAAAGUUGCUCAAACUGUAUCAUUUAGAGGAAGUAAAAGUCGUAACA
rnacentral:rRNA from 1 species